CACCAGAUAUUCAGUUAAUCAAUAGAUCAGAGUAUAUUGAUUGUAUCGCCAGAGGUGUUCCAAACGUUUACACUUUCUACAAGUGGAACCAUCAAUCAGAGUAUGGGGAGCACAUCCGUUUCCUCGAUGGUUUUUCAAAUGGAACGCUUGCUUUAGAUGAUACAGAAUAUCCCUAUAUUAGGAAUGGUAUAUACACAUGUACAACCAGCAACGGAAUACGUGACAACAAAGGGAAUAUGAAACAAAAAGGAUCUUAUCUGGUCAAAUUACCAGGCAAGCCUGUAUUUUUAAAUACAAGUUAUCAAACAAAGCUCUGCAGUCUCGAAAGGAAUUGUAAAAUGACUUUUGAUGUCUACAGUAACCCAGGUGUUGAAAGAGUGGAAUUGAAGAGUCUGAACGACGAAGAAAGUAACAACAUUGUACAGUUUAAAAUAACUUCAGAAAAACAAAUGCUACCGACCUGCUGGAAAAAAAAUCCACAUUAGCGGCUUCAAAAUAGAUAUAACAACAGCAAUCUUAGAGGAAUAUGAUUUCACAUAUUACGAACUCAGGAUUUGGAACUUAAAUGGUUCUUCGCCAUUAAACUUUUCGAUUUUACCAGUGGAGGAGACUCACAACAGCAAACAUCUAAAGAUGUAUUUGGUCAUAGUUGUUACUUUAUCAGUCGUACUUGUCCUGUAUAUUCAAGCAUCUCACAUUUGGUUUUAUCGACGAAGAAGACAGUCGUCUUUGAAUGGCGAAAAUCAAACCGAAAGUUACGACGAAAUUGGAACAAUCCCUUCAAGAAUAAUAAACAUUCGUCCAUUCGAAGAUAGUGAUGACACUUCUGAUUUAUCUUUAAACAUUGCGAGUGUACACGAAAGUUUAAAUAACCAUCAAAGUGUGUCAUCAAAUGACACAAUUGAACAUAAUAUUGGUGAUAGUGGCUCUCUAAGUUGGCGAGACGUUGAAGUGGAUCAAAGACAUGAAUAUCAUAAUCUGUACCAAUCAAUAUUGCAUGAAAUAGCAGACAGUACUAGCAUGCAUUUGUUUGAGAGGGAUGUACACCCACUUGAAAAUCAAUUGGAGAAAAAACGUUACAUAAAUCUACAAAUAUAACCAUGUGAUGAUCUUUAGGCAAUUGAUUGCAGCACAGAACUAUCGUAUUUCGACCAAAUAUCUAGGCGAAAAUUAAAAAAAAAAAUUACAAAAACCUUUACAAAUACGAAUAAUAAA